CUCCCUUUCCUCUCGCCUCACCUCUCUCUCUCUCCCUCCAAACCCUAACCCGCGCCCGCCUCCCUUCCCCGCCGCUGGCCGCCGCCACCGACACUCGCCCGGGCACCCAUCCUCGACCUCACGCCACCCAUCUAGAGAGAAGAAGAUGGGGGUUGCGAGCGACGAGGUCGACGUGCCGUCGUCCCGUCUUUUCCGAGGUCGACGAGAGCCAAUCCCACGCCGCCGCCAUCUCCUUCACCUAGCUGGCCGCCGCCUUGGCCUCCUCCUUCUCUUCCGUAGCGACCUCUCCUCCUCCGCGGUGCUCGGCGAAGGCAGCACGAGCAGACGCCGCACUACGCGAGAGCGUCCUCCUAGGCCGCAUCUGAGAGGAACCAGGACCUCGUGGUGAGGUGAGCCACGGCGGCGGUGCCCACGCGCCUAUGCCGUCCCCCGCGGCUGCCCCGUCCUCGACCAUCGCCCACCCCUCCGGGAGGGAGAGGCGUGGUGGCGUUAAGGAGAGCUCUGCCGCCGUGGUGUCGCUCCUUCCUCCGGUGCCACCGCUGCCCUCCGGACCGGCAUCCUCGUGUCUGGAUUUGGCCCAAGGUUGUGCCCUUGCUCUCUGGAAAUGAAGUUUUGUUCUCAUCCAAGUGCUAUAGGAGACGAGCCGGUGGCAAGCAACCGCGGGUGGCCUCCUCCGUCGUUCCCUGUUCGAUCUGGCGCUUGCAAGAGGAAGCUGCCAAGCCAGGCACAAGCAGAGAGCACCGUAUCACCGCUCCAUAUGAAGCUGGUAAUGGAAAAUCUCAGUGGUGCACCAUUUGAGGCAUUAUUGACCAACACACAUGUCUAACAUUUGUAGACUGCUAGCGAGCUACAUUGCGUAGCAAGAAUUGAUAUGGUGUGCUGAUAAGUUCACAAUCAAGAAGGAUCAUCCCUAUUCUAAGGUCAAUAUAUGCUUCCUUGGAAAUGAUCAAUCAUCUUCUUAGGUCAAGGAAGACUUGAAGGACUACAUGUGGCCACCUUUGUAUGGCCAAUUGUUUUGUAGACUUUCAGUAUCCUUCAUCCGCCGUUGGGUUCGUUCCGCCUCAGCCAGGAUCUUCUCGGCCCUGCUCUGAUGUUGUGAAAACUCAUGCAUUCCGACAGCCGCCUCCAUGCUCCAACUGCUGCAGCCUGCAGGUACCCAGAGCUAUGGCCUCUUGUGUGCACCGAUCAUGAGAAGAAAUUUAUUUGACAACAGAAUAACUAGGAGAACAAAUAAUCCUGAUUUUACUGGCUGAAUACCACUGUGCCAGAAUGCUGAGUCGGUUAUUCAUAUAAAGAGAGAAAUGAAUGAGUGUUGCUGCAUUUGUUUGGUCAUGCUUGCACCAGAGAAGAACUGCAUUUGUUUGGUCAUCGUGGCAUGACGGCAAUAUCAAACUCUUUGUUUGGGCAUCACACAUGAAAAUUCCCAGGGAUUUAAUUGACGGAGGCAUCACUAUUUGACGUUGGAUUAUCCAUUUUUGCAGCACUAGCAAUGUUGUUUUUGUUUGGAAUGACCAGUUCUCAAUUUCUAUUCUGUUAUCAACGAUACUGUACUUCUUGUCAGGUUACAUUAUCUUACUUGGUUUCAGUCUAUAUGUAGCACAAAAAUAGGUAACAUAGUUGUUGUCAUGCUCGAUUUAGUUUGUAGGUUACACUAAGGAACACCAUCAUAAGGAAAAGGGCAUUGCACUGCAUUGUUUAUAAUUUGCCUGUUACUAUUCGGUCUGCUGUAGUACUUAAUUGCUACACCAUUUCAAGUUAUGUAGUCUAAAAUAACCCUUUCAAAUGAACUUUUUUAAUUGAUAUUCAGAGCAUCGACAUGGUGGACUAGAUUAUGAAAUCAACUAUGAUCAUGAGAACUUGAAGCUAUUUGUUGACUAAAUUGUCAAUUGUUUUGCGUGAAUUGAAACUGGCAGUGUGAUGACAUUACUGUAGAUGCUUUGCUAUAUACAUUUGCCUAAUCCUCCCUCUCUCUAAUAUGUUCUCUUUUCUGAAGAUCCUUUGCAGAUCAAUUGGUGAGGCAGAAUGCUAAGCAUCGUUUCACAUUCAGGUUUGCUAUCAAACUCUCAAAAAGGAAAAACAACUUUACUCUGUUUUUUGGAGAACCUUCCUGUAGAGUACCUCGACAGAGACAAAUAUGCGAUCAAGGAUAUAUUCGAUGGAUUUUCACGCAAAAUUUCGAGGAUAUUUUUGCAGAUAGUUUGGUGCUCUCAUGGUUAUUUUGUAGUGAUUUUCCUUCUGUUCAUUACUUGGUAACCAUCUACGGCAGCUCAGCUAUUGUCCAGCUGCUGACCUUGGUGAGUGAUUGAUGGUGCAUGUUUUUCUAUUAGUUUCUCUCUAUGCCAAUGUCUGAAUUUUAUCUUGCCGUUUUGCAUUUCUCCAGGCCUUUCAAUCUCACUGUGAUUCCCCGAGAUGCGCUAUUAGUAGGCAUCCACUUCGUAAUAAAAAUUUGGCAGUCAACUUGAAACGAGUCAUUUAUCUAGCUACAGCAACCUUCCUUGCUUUUGCAAAUAAUACUGUAUGGUUGACACUAUAGUCUAUACCUGCCAAAUAUUUACACGUUAGUAUAGCCAGAAAGUCAGAUGAUCGUUCCAUGUUGGUUAGCUGUGAUAAAUCAAAUUUCUAGAGUAGCAGAUGAUUCGUGUCAGGUUUCUUUUAGAGAUUGAAAUAUGUCUUGACUCUGAAAUUAGUAGUACAGCGUCCAGUUUUCCAUAGGUGAAAGCAUACUAUGCAAAACUGGACGGCCUUCUAAAGCUCUGAAACUACUAUUUGUUGUGUAAUCUGUAUCCCCUUUUCAUACUUUGUAUAUGCUUUCUACUUACUAGGAAAAAAUGCGUGAGAACGAUGGCCUAGAGGAUGUGAAUUGCACUCAAAUAUAUGCAGGUUUCUUGCCAAACUAACUGCCACUAUUGUAUUUCAGGUGCUUCUUCUGUAACUUAGUGUAUUUUGCUGGCUCGUCUCAUUUCCUGGCGAACUUUUUAGUAUGUACAGUUGAAUCAUUGGAAGUUGUUUUCUACUAUCGAUAGAGGUUUUAUCCAAACUAUUAGCUGCCUGACUUGCUUUUUUGAAAUACACCAACCUGAUAGACCAAGUGGACCAACACAUUUCCAUGGGAUUUUAGAAAAAUAUAUAUUCGAAUUUGCAUACAUUUUCUAAAUUUCUAUCUUUUCUUAUCCAUGCUUCCCCAUAGAUAUAUAGCAGGCUCAACAAAAAUAUAUGUCCGCUUAUGUUCAAAUUUCAAGGAAGUGUGCUUCACACUUCUCUUUCUGCAAUAUGUUUCAGAGUAUAUGAUUUAAUUUUCCUACUUUUCCAGUUAAAAUACUGUGUACUUCAUUCUUAGCUUUGCUUUAGGAAAAAUAGGUAUGCAGGUUAUCGAAAGCUCCAUUUUUCACCAUUAUAUAGAUUAUAUAGCUUUGUGGUCGAAGGUAGGUUGUCACAUAUGGGAUGUUGCUUGUGAAAGUUAUAUACAGCCAUGAGUCCCUGACAAAAUAAUCGCAGCUCAUAUUAUUAGGAUCAGGGAACCUCGACCAUUUUUCUGAAACAUGUCGCAGCUCAUGUUCCUACUUUCCCAGCUACAGUAUGUACUUCAUUCUUACCUUUGCUUUUGGAAGUUACAUUGCUUUCUUUUCCCUCAUAAACUUGCUAACGAUAUUGGCGAAGUAAUCCCCACUUCAGAUUUCCCAUUGAAUGAAUAACUAAUUUAGUUUGUUCAAAAAUUGUAGGUCAAGAGCCAUGAAUAGGAGCAAGGCAUCACACUCCAGCUCUGAGAAGAAAAGGAUAUGAAGACAAAGAUAUCAGUGUUCUGCUCCGAGGCAAAAACAUUUUGCGUGUAAUAAUGAACUGUAAUUUACCACAAUCUCUAAAACAGGCCUACCUACUUGCUUUUGUAUUAGGAAGUACUCCCUCCGUUCAGAAUUACUUGUCGCAGAAAUGGAUGUAUCUAGAUGUAUUUUAGUUCUAGAUACAUCUAUUUUCGAGACAAGUAAUUCGGAACGGAGGGAGUAUGACUCAGUUAUAUAUGCAUGAAAAUACAUUUUUAAAUGAGCUUGAAAAUUCUUAUGUGCAUUGAAAUUGUAUCUAGCACUUUGUAAAGAACGAAUGAAACACAUUUCAAAUAACUCUUUAGUCUAAAUUGACACCUUGUUCCAUUAGACAUCAUAAUCAUAAAUGGUUGCUAAAGAGUUUGAAUUUGUAAAGUGGUUGCAUCUGCUGUUUCAAGUCUGGACUGUUCCUCCGUGCUAAAACUUAAUUUAAUUUUCAAAACAAUCCGUGUUUGUUGUUUGGUGUAACGGUCCAUUUAUGUAACCAUGUAUGCAGAGAAAUCCUUAAUAAUAGGAAAAGAGAUGCAAGCCUGACUCCGGAUGGGCCACACAAACAAGUCUAAAUAUUAUACAAACAAGUUUUUUUUUCAAACUCAGAUUUCUCAUGGUGAUAACGAUAUUUUUAACUUAAAAAAAAUACUUCCUUAGUUGGUCUAUGCAUGUUAUAGAAAUAUGAUUUUUUUUCAAACUCAGAUUUCUCAGCGUGAUAAACAUAUUUUCAAUAUAGCAUGACUUAACGCAUGGGCUUUCUAUUACCAAUAUCAAAUAUGUUCUUGUAAAAUGAAACUAUUUUCAUUGAUAACAUGGCUUUAGCGGGUUGGCGCAACGGGUGAACUAGUUUAAACCUAUAAGGAUGCUCUCCGAUUGGGGCCUCGCUGGCCGUCCGAUCUACCUCUCCAACUCAGUUGAACCGUUGGAUUUUCACUUGCAGUUAAAUCAAUUUUCACCUCGCGGUCAUUUUACUUCCCAAUGACAAGUGGGCUCGUCUCACGCUUGCAUUGGCUGGGUAAUCUUCGGCUGGGUGAACCUUUCCUCGCGCGCCGCACGUCGCGCAUCCCCUGGCUUGCCUGCGGCUGGAGAGAGGAGCCCAUCCAACCCUAGCUCCCGAUCCACAUCUGACGCACUCCUCCCUCCUUCUCCCUCUCACGACCGUCGCACCCAUUCCUCUCUUCCGCCUCCCUCUUCCUUCACAGAUCCCUACCACCGCCACACCCACUCGUCUCCUCCUCUCUCUUCUAGCUUCCUCCCCCUUCCUGAUCUCUGCGUCGGCCGUCGCGCGAGAGGAGCAGCGGUGGCGGAGACGCUCAGGUGGCGGCGUCGAGCUGCGAAGCGGCGGCGCUCGGGCGCGAGACGACAGAAGCGGGAGCGGCUACUCCAGGCCCCGAUCUGGGGGUUCGGUUCCAGGGCGCUGACAGCUUCUCCCUCUACGACGCCGGGGGCGAGCUGGGGUUCGUCGUCACCACGGCCGACCACCUCCCGUCGCUAGGGUGCAUGACGGCGGUCGGGUCGGGCCGGGACAGAACCGCAGGAGGCCAUGAAGGGCACGACGGCUGCUGGCAGAAGCAGCAGGGUUUGAAGGAGUGGCAGAUGUGGGCGGGGUCGGCGGUUGGGGCAGGCUCGCCGUCUGGGCAACAGCGAGCGCCGGUGAGCGCAACGAAAGGAAGCCAAUCGUCGGCGUACGUCAAUGAUUCGGGCGCCUGCGGCAUGUAUCUUGGUGAAUGUACAGAGCUAAUGUUCAAUUCAUUUUCUCAGGCAUGAAUUUACAGAUUCAAGAUUUUCUUACACACUUGCUAUUUUUCUUCAUCCUUUCCUCAACUUCCAUGGUAACAUGUAAUAUUUUCUUAUAGUUUUUAGAGGGUGUUUCGGACUCAAGAUUGAUCUGGUAAUGCACGUGGUGUGGUGUGACCAGGAAUAUCUGAUCUGCGCCAUGACAAUAUGGCCUUGCUGCAGCCAUGCGGUUCUUCGGAGUAUGGUGCUUCGAUUUGGUUCCUGUGGUGAGCGUAUCUGGAGAGGCCGCAAGCAGCAGGGGUCAGCGGAGCGGCUGCUGCGGUCGACAGAGCAGCAGGAGCAAGGAGCUCGAGACGGUUCAGGAAGAGUGCCUACAACGAUCACUGAACUGGAUAGAGGUGCCUUAUGAAGUUAUGAUAGUAUAGCUAAAGAACAUCAGGCAUGAGUAGAUGGCACUGCCACCUACGUGUUUGAUUUUUUGUUGUUGUGAUAUUUCAGGCCCCCAAAUUAUUGUGAUGUAAAAUGAACACACGGUAUUCCUGUUAAAAUGUAGAGACAGACCUUGUUCUCUGAUUAUAAGGCUGUCCAGUGCUGGUUGACAUUGUAUAUGUGUGAUACCUAACAAAUUGACUGUGUUCCCAUGUUUGCUUUAUUAGAACAUAAUAAUCUGAUGUUCAUAGGGUAUCAGGAGAUGCUGGACCUUUGUAACUCAAUUCAUCAGUUUAGUUGCAGUCCAUGCUAGCCACCUGUAGUGUAGGCCUACAUUCUGGUGAGAUGUAUAUUUGCCUUCUCUCAUUAGGCGGUGGCUUCUGGUGAUCUGUUCCUUUUCCUUGUUUUUAGUUUUUCCCUUCUGGUGAUCACCCAUCCCAAAUUGCUACCUCCUCAGCCAUUGGUUUAUCUCCCAGAUUGGUUCUUUGGAUGGUGAGGUUCUUCUUCUACAAAUUUGUCCCAAUGCAAUUAGCAGGCUAGCAAAUUCGAAAAAUGAAAUUUUGAGUGAGUGUGUGGAUGCAUACAGAUAGUAGGUGAGCAAUUAAACAUCCUCUAUUUUUUGUAAGUAUAUGUGGAUGCGCAUAAAGUGUUCUCUGUUUUUUUAGCGAGUAUAUAUAUAUGCAUAUAAGAUGUAUAUUGUGGUUUCCAUUCUGGUUUACAUGGUAGUACGUGGAGCUUAUUUAAUCUUCAACUAUUAUGGCUUUAUCUGUACUUCUUGACAUAUCAGGAGCUGGUGUUAUGUUCUACCUGAUCGAUUUUUAGCAGACUUGGUGAGCUUGCUCCCUCUUUGUUCUCUUCGUCAAGGUCAGUUAUUGGAAGGGAAAAUUGCAGGCCAAGAUCCAUAAAUAGGAGAAAGAAAUCACACCCAAGCUGAUAAGAAAGCUUAUGAAGACAAUGGGAGAAAUCACUUCACUCUAUUCUGCUCCAAAGCAAAAACAAAUUUGGGGGAUCCAUGUUGCAGUGUGUUGUAAUUUACUGCCAUUUCAGAGACAGGCCAGUGCUGUUACCAGCCCAGCGUUUGCUUUUAUAUUAUUGAAUCGUGACUCAGUCAUAUAUGUUUAUAUUCAUGUUGUGAAAGCCAUCUUGAAAAUAGGCAAGAUUCUAUUGCCAACAAGUUGCUUCCUUAUAUAUUACCGGAAUAUGAAUACAUCAUGUAUAUUUAUAUUCAUGUUGUCAAGCUGUGGUUUAACAAAA